rnacentral:misc_RNA from 1 species
UCUCCGUUGGUGAACCAGCGGAGGGAUCAUUACCGAGUUUACAACUCCCAAACCCCAUGUGAACCUUACCAAAUGUUGCUUCGGCGGGAUGCCCCGGGCGCGGGCCGCAAGGCCUCAGCCCCGGAACCAGGCGCCCGCCGGAGGCCCAAACCAAACUCUUGUUUUUGUAGAAUCUUCUGAGUGGCCUUUUAGGCAAAAAAUGAAUCAAAACUUUCAACAACGGAUCUCUUGGUUCUG